rnacentral:rRNA from 1 species
CCUACGGGAGGCAGCAGUGAGGAAUAUUGGUCAAUGGGCGCGAGUCUGAACCAGCCAAGUAGCGUGAAGGAUGACUGCCCUACGGGUUGUAAACUUCUUUUAUAAAGGAAUAAAGUGAUGCACGUGUGCCUUUUUGUAUGUACUUUAUGAAUAAGGAUCGGCUAACUCCGUGCCAGCAGCCGCGGUAAUACGGAGGAUCCGAGCGUUAUCCGGAUUUAUUGGGUUUAAAGGGAGCGUAGAUGGGUUGUUAAGUCAGUUGUGAAAGUUUGCGGCUCAACCGUAAAAUUGCAAUUGAUACUGGCAGCCUUGAGUACAGUAGAGGUAGGCGGAAUUCGUGGUGUAGCGGUGAAAUGCUUAGAUAUCACGAAGAACUCCGAUUGCGAAGGCAGCCUACUAAACUGCAACUGACAUUGAUGCUCGAAAGUGUGGGUAUCAAACAGGAUUAGAUACCCCAGUAGUC